GACGAACGCUGGCGGCGUGCUUAAUACAUGCAAGUCAACUGAACUUAAGGUAGCAAUAUUUUAAGGGAGGUGGCGCACGGGUGAGUAACACGUAGGUAAUCCGCCUUUAGGUCUGACAUAAUUCCGCGAAAGCGGGACUAAUAUCAGAUGAUGCAGCGGCUCGACAUCGAGACAGUUGUUAAACCUUCGGGGCCUAAAGAUGAGCCUGCGUCUGAUUAGGUAGUUGGCGGAGUAAAGCCCACCAAGCCUGCGAUCAGUAGCUGGUCUGAGAGGAUGAUCAGCCACACUGGAACUGAGACACGGUCCAGACUCCUACGGGAGGCAGCAGUAAGGAAUAUUGCUCAAUGGCCGAAAGGCUGAAGCAGCAACGCCGCGUGGAGGAU
rnacentral:rRNA from 1 species